rnacentral:rRNA from 1 species
UGGGGAAUUUUACGCAAUGGGGGAAACCCUGACGUAGCGACACCGCGUGAGCGAAGAAGCCCUUUGGGGUGUAAAGCUCUGUCAGUUGGGACGAAACAAAUGACGGUACCAACAGAGGAAGCAUCGGCUAACUACGUGCCAGCAGCCGCGGUAAGACGUAGGAUGCGAGCGUUGUCCGGAUUUAUUGGGCGUAAAGAGUUCGUAGGCGGUUUGUUAAGUCUGAUGUUAAAGACUGAGGCUCAACCUCGGGAAUGCAUUGGAUACUGGCAGACUGGAGUGCAGUAGAGGCAAGUGGAAUUCCCAGUGUAGCGGUGAAAUGCGUAGAUAUUGGGAAGAACACCAGUGGCGUAAGCGACUUGCUGGGCUGUAACUGACGCUGAGGAACGAAAGCCAGGGUAGCGAAUGGGAUUAGAUACCCCCGUAGUCC